rnacentral:rRNA from 1 species
UCGGGAAUUUUGGGCAAUGGGCGAAAGCCUGACCCAGCAACGCCGCGUGAAGGAUGAAGUAUUUCGGUAUGUAAACUUCGAAAGAAUAGGAAGAAUAAAUGACGGUACUAUUUAUAAGGUCCGGCUAACUACGUGCCAGCAGCCGCGGUAAUACGUAGGGACCAAGCGUUAAUCGGAGUGACUGGGCGUAAAGGGCAUGUAGGCGGUUAUAUUAGUCUGAUGUAAAAGACCCGGGCUUAACCUGGGAUAUGCAUUGGAAACGGUAUAGCUAGAGUAUGGGAGAGGGAAGUGGAAUUUCCGGUGUAGCGGUGAAAUGCGUAGAGAUCGGAAAGAACACUCGUGGCGAAGGCGGCUUUCUGGCCCAUAACUGACGCUGAGGUGCGAAAGCAUGGGGAGCAAACAGGAUUAGAUACCCCCGUAGUCCCUGAGCGGGCUGGCAAGGCGCAU